rnacentral:rRNA from 1 species
UACAGAGGGCUCAAGCGUUGUUCGGAUUCAUUGGGCGUAAAGGGCGCGUAGGCGGCGGGGUAAGUCGGGUGUGAAAUCUCAGAGCUCAACUCUGAAACUGCACUCGAUACUGCUUUGCUUGAGGACUGGAGAGGAGACUGGAAUUUACGGUGUAGCGGUGAAAUGCGUAGAUAUCGUAAGGAAGACCAGUGGCGAAGGCGGGUCUCUGGACAGUUCCUGACGCUGAGGCACGAAGGCCAGGGGAGCAAACGGG